rnacentral:rRNA from 1 species
CCUACGGGAGGCAGCAGUGGGGAAUAUUGGGCAAUGGGCGCAAGCCUGACCCAGCAACGCCGCGUGAAGGCAGAAGGCUUUCGGGUUGUAAACUUCUUUUCUGAGGGACGACGAAAGUGACGGUACCUCAGGAAUAAGCCACGGCUAACUACGUGCCAGCAGCCGCGGUAAUACGUAGGUGGCAAGCGUUAUCCGGAUGUAUUUGGUGUAAAGGGCGUGUAGGCGGGAAAGCAAGUCAGAUGUGAAAACUCAGGGCUCAACCCUGAGCCUGCAUGUGAAACUGUUUUUCGUGAGUGCUGGAGAGGCAAUCGGAAUUCCGUGUGUAGCGGUGAAAUGCGUAGAUAUACGGAGGAACACCAGUGGCGAAGGCGGAUUGCUGGACAGUAACUGACGCUGAGGCGCGAAAGCGUGGGGAGCAAACAGGAUUAGAUACCCUAGUAGUC